GCCGGCAGCCGCGGGGAGAGCUGGUGCGCAGCGCCCGCUUAGUCCCGACACCGCCUUUGCUUCGCUCAAGGGCACAACGGGUUGGCCUCCCGGCCAGCUCUCGCCAUUUAUCUACUCUGGUGCAGGAGCACCUGGGCCGAAAGGGCAGAGAGGGAGCAGCGGCGGGGCUGGGGCUGCCUCCGAGCGCUGUCCGGCGGUGGCGAUCCGCUCCGCUUUCCUGCUUCCCCAGAAAGACCUUGAAAUGAAGAAAAGCAGCUCAUGGAGCAGAAGGAUUUUCCUUAUCCAGGGAAAGAAAGAAGUCUUUUCAGAGAACAAGCCUUUGUACCAGGUUCUCUGCCAGGAGUCAUGGGGUUUCUGAACGACCUGGAGAGGCCACAUCGAAUAGGUCUUCUUGUUGAGUCGGAAAGUCUUGACAACAAAUGAAAAACUACUUCAGCUUAAGGCCGACCACUGAAGAGAGGUUUCUGUACAUACGUGAUAGCACAUCAUGCCAUUUGUGCCACAGAGGCUCCUUGGGACCUCCUGCAAUGUAGCUUCUGACAGAUUAUGCAAAACAAACAACAUACAGAAUUCUAAAACACAUGUGUCUUGCACCUAAAUAAAUUAAUUGAAGCUGCCAA